GUGUCAGCAGCCGCGGUAAUACGGAGGGGGUUAGCGUUGUUCGGAAUUACUGGGCGUAAAGCGCACGUAGGCGGAUUGGAAAGUAUGGGGUGAAAUCCCAGGGCUCAACCCUGGAACGGCCUUGUAAACUCCCAGUCUAGAGUUCGAGAGAGGUGAGUGGAAUUCCAAGUGUAGAGGUGAAAUUCGUAGAUAUUUGGAGGAACACCAGUGGCGAAGGCGGCUCACUGGCUCGAUACUGACGCUGAGGUGCGAAAGUGUGGGGAGCAAACAGGAUUAGAUACCCUGGUAGUCCACACCGUAAACGAUGAAUGCCAGACGUCAGGGGGCUUGCCCUUUGGUGUCACACCUAACGGAUUAAGCAUUCCGCCUGGGGAGUACGGUCGCAAGAUUAAA
rnacentral:rRNA from 1 species